rnacentral:rRNA from 1 species
GACAGAGGGUGCAAACGUUGCUCGGAAUCACUGGGCGUAAAGGGCGUGUAGGCGGGAAGGAAAGUCAGAUGUGAAAGCCCUGGGCUCAACCCAGGAACUGCAUUUGAAACUCCCUUUCUUGAGUGUCGGAGAGGAAAGCGGAAUUCCUGGUGUAGAGGUGAAAUUCGUAGAUAUCAGGAGGAACACCGGUGGCGAAGGCGGUUACCUGGAGCUUUGCUGACGCUGAUGCGCGAAAGCGUGGGGAGCGAUCCGG